UCUGAGGGUUUNCUGCCUUGAAGGCUGUC
rnacentral:piRNA from 1 species